UAGCAGGUGCAUUAUAAAUAU
rnacentral:miRNA from 1 species